rnacentral:rRNA from 1 species
UACGAAGGGGGCUAGCGUUGCUCGGAAUCACUGGGCGUAAAGGGUGCGUAGGCGGGUCUUUAAGUCAGGGGUGAAAUCCUGGAGCUCAACUCCAGAACUGCCUUUGAUACUGAAGAUCUUGAGUUCGGGAGAGGUGAGUGGAACUGCGAGUGUAGAGGUGAAAUUCGUAGAUAUUCGGAAGAACACCAGUGGCGAAGGCGACUCACUGGACACGUAUUGACGCUGAGGUGCGAAAGCGUGGGGAGCAAACAGGG